rnacentral:rRNA from 1 species
GACGAACGCUGGCGGCGUGCUUAACACAUGCAAGUCGUACGGUAAGGCCCUUUCGGUGGUACACGAGUGGUGAACGGGUGAGUAACACGUGAGUAACCUUCCCCCACCUUUGGGAUAACGCUAGGAAACUGGUGCCGAUACUGGUUAUGUGUUCUUUCUGCAUGGUGGGGGUUGGAUAGCUCCGGCGGUUUUGGAUGUACUGGCUGCCUAUCUGCUUGUUGGUGGGGUAGUGGGCUACCAAGGCGGCGACGGGUAGCCGGCCUGAGAGGGUGACUGGCGACAUUGGGACUGAGAUACGGCCCAGACUCCGACGGGAGGGAGCAGGGGGGAAGAUUGCACAAUGGGCGCAAGCCUGGUGCAGCAACGCCGCGGGCGGGAUGACGGCCUUCGGGUUGUAAACCGAAUUCAGAAGGGACGAAGCUUUUUGUGACGGUACCUGAAGAAGAAGCACCGGCUAACUACGUG